rnacentral:rRNA from 1 species
CUCGAGAGAACUGUGGUUAAGGAACUCGGCAAAAUGCCCCCGUAACUUCGGGAGAAGGGGGACCAUGCCCGGUGAACAUCUUCACGGUGGGAGCUGGGUGUGGUCGCAGAGACCAGAGAGAAGCGACUGUUUACUAAAAACACAGGUCCGUGCGAAGACGUAAGUCGAUGUAUACGGACUGACGCCUGCCCGGUGCUGGAAGGUUAAGAGGACCGGUUAGCCGUAAGGCGAAGCUGAGAAUUUAAGCCCCAGUAAACGGCGGUGGUAACUAUAACCAUCCUAAGGUAGCGAAAUUCCUUGUCGGGUAAGUUCCGACCUGCACGAAUGGCGUAACGACUUCUCUGCUGUCUCGACCACAGACUCGGCGAAAUUGCACUACGAGUAAAGAUGCUCGUUACGCGCGGCAGGACGAAAAGACCCCGGGACCUUUACUAUAGCUUGGUAUUGGCGUUCGAUUCGGUUUGUGUAGGAUAGGUGGGAGACUGUGAAGCAUGCACGCCAGUGUGUGUGGAGUCGUUGUUGAAAUACCACUCUGAUCGUAUUGGACGUCUAACCUCGGCCCAUGAUCUGGGUUAGGGACAGUGCCUGGUGGGUAGUUUAACUGGGGCGGUUGCCUCCUAAAGAGUAACGGAGGCGCCCAAAGGUUCCCUCAGCCUGGAUGGCAAUCAGGUGUUGAGUGCAAGUGCACAAGGGAGCUUGACUGUGAGACUGACACGUCGAGCAGGGACGAAAGUCGGGACUAGUGAUCCGGCACCGGCAAGUGGAAGCGGUGUCGCUCAACGGAUAAAAGGUACCCCGGGGAUAACAGGCUGAUCUUCCCCAAGAGUCCAUAUCGACGGGAUGGUUUGGCACCUCGAUGUCGGCUCGUCGCAUCCUGGGGCUGGAGUAGGUCCCAAGGGUUGGGCUGUUCGCCCAUUAAAGCGGCACGCGAGCUGGGUUUAGAACGUCGUGAGACAGUUCGGUCUCUAUCCGCCGCGCGCGUAAGAAACUUGAGGAAGGCUGUCCCUAGUACGAGAGGACCGGGACGGGCGAACCUCUGGUGUGCCAGUUGUUCCACCAGGAGCAUGGCUGGUUAGCUACGUUCGGAAGGGAUAACCGCUGAAAGCAUCUAAGCGGGAAGCCUGUUCCAAGAUGAGGUUUCUCACCACCUUGCGUGGUUAAGGCCCCCUACAGACCAUGGGGUUGAUAGGCCGGAACUGGAAGCGCAGCAAUGCGUGGAGGUGACCGGUACUAAUAGGCCGAGGGCUUACACU